rnacentral:rRNA from 1 species
UACGGAGGAUGCGAGCGUUAUCCGGAUUUAUUGGGUUUAAAGGGUGCGUAGGCGGGCUUUUAAGUCAGCGGUAAAAAUUCGGGGCUCAACCCCGUCCGGCCGUUGAAACUGGGAGCCUUGAGUGGGCGAGAAGAAGGCGGAAUGCGUGGUGUAGCGGUGAAAUGCAUAGAUAUCACGCAGAACCCCGAUUGCGAAGGCAGCCUUCCGGCGCCCUACUGACGCUGAGGCACGAAAGUGCGGGGAUCGAACAGG